rnacentral:rRNA from 1 species
GACGAACGCUGGCGGCGUGCUUAACACAUGCAAGUCGAACGGAAAGGCCUUUUCGGAGGUACUCGAGUGGCGAACGGGUGAGUAACACGUGGGUGAUCUGCCCUGCACUCUGGGAUAAGCCUGGGAAACUGGGUCUAAUACCGGAUAGGACCGCACUUUAGUGUGUGUGGUGGAAAGUUUUUUCGGUGUAGGAUGAGCCCGCGGCCUAUCAGCUUGUUGGUGGGGUAAUGGCCUACCAAGGCGGCGACGGGUAGCCGGACUGAGAGGUUGGUCGGCCACAUUGGGACUGAGAUACGGCCCAGACUCCUACGGGAGGCAGCAGUGGGGAAUAUUGCACAAUGGGCGCAAGCCUGAUGCAGCGACGCCGCGUGGGGGAUGACGGCCUUCGGGUUGUAAACUCCUUUCGCCAGGGACGAAGCGUUUUGUGACGGUACCUGGAGAAGAAGCACCGGCUAACUCCGUG